rnacentral:misc_RNA from 1 species
CAGUGACCCACCGAGUCCGACGCCAUCAAUCGUUUACUCACCGAAGAAGCUUUCUGCGAUCAGAAUUGGUAAAAACAAACACGAUAGAAGGUGUUCUUUGGAGCUGAAGGAUCCAAUCUAUAAAUUUUAGAGUUGGUUGACAUUAUUAUUGCAGUUAUUAUGAUUAUUUAGAAUUAUUUUGUUUGAAGGAUCCGUUUCUUUAACACCCCAAUUCCCUCCCCUUUGACGCCAAUG